UAAUACAGCUUGUUGUUUGGCGAAAUGUCCUAUUGGAUCAUUUAAGACGUCUCUGCUGUAAUAUUCACGCCGAGUGAAACUCUCAUCUUAUUUAAUGUUGUAUGCUAAUGGUCUGCUCCAUAAGGUUCCU